CUGAGAGCGAAGAAUUUGUAAGAGGUUCUUGUUUCAGUACAGAGUGAGGGAGUGAGAGCGAAGUAGGGAUCGAUAGCAAGAUUUGGAUCUUUCAGCAAAAGACUUUUGAUUUUUAUGGGUGUCCUAUGGCGCCAAAGAAUGGACAGUGGUGUCAGAGAAAUCAGGCCCAAGAGUAGGACAAUGGUGGUAGGAAGCUGCACUCAUUGCUGAUUUGAUUUUCUGAGCUCUGCUAUAGCUGUCGAGAUUGGAUUCCCUUUUUCUGCCAUUUCGUUGGCUUCGAAAGCAACAUGAGAAGAGGUGUUGUAAGAGUAAUUGGUAUGUUUUGAAUUUCUUUGGCUUGCUCAGUUUCUGCGGUGAGAUUGAUGAGAAUAGAAAUGGUGGGUGCUUUUUCUGAUCUUCUCAAUGAGAAAGGGAAGGGCUCUGGAUGGAGGAGUUGAUCCAUCAAAGAAGAAGGAAUCAACUUGAGCGGUGGAUGCUGCAGGUGAAUUUAGCUUUGGUUUGUCAAAGUUCUUUCCAGUGUUUCAUAUUACUGCUACAAAGGAGAAUAAUCUCGGUGAUGAUGCCAUAGCUAAAGAUAUUAAACAGAACAUGAAUUUGGAUAUUUGGUUUUCGGUUUCCUAUUCCAGGUCUUCAGAAUGCUUUCUUGAUUAUAUUGUAGCAAAUGGAAAAGUUUAUGCUAAUGAUCAUCUAUCAGGUCAAAAUAACCUGCCCACGUACGGAGCCGACUGCGGGGAGCUCUUUGUUAGAGAGAUGAUGAGUGCCUCCCACAUGCAUAAUGAUAAAGUGCCCGAGCUUCAAGGGUGCUUGAGGUCUUGGAGAAAUCCAUUUGUUCACGUGCAUCCACAGACGCCAAUAAUUGCAGCAUCUGAAGCUACUGGUGGUCCAGUACCAGGAACAACUGCGAAGUCUUGAGAUAAACCAUUCUCAGAUAAAGUUCAAGUAGUACAGCAAGCCAAGUAGUACGCAAUCUUGAUACCAAGGCUACAAGGAAUAAAGUAAAACAACGUCAAAGUGAAACAGAACUAAAACAAGAUUUCACUAUGAUGCACAGGAAAUAGUUUCUACUUUCUAAAUCCUGAAAUUCCAGAAAGAGAUCGAGCAGCGUCUCUGUAAAGGCGCUCCUGGCUUUCCCAGGCAAUGAAAUCGUGUAACAGUCAAUCACAAGUUCACAACCAACAUUAGCUGCAGAAGAAUCACCUCGAAGGACCUGAUGUAAAUAGGUUGUUUGAACUACAAAUGUAGACAUUGCAGGCUGGUUUUGGUUUGAGUGGGGAUCCCAUCAUUAAAACUCAUGCAAGCAAGUUGAUGCUGUUGAAAUCAAAUGCACACCAUCUAGAAUAUUACAUACUUGCAAGUGAUCUGUGCAUUCAUCAAUUUUUCGGUACCAGAAGUUGCAGUUUGUCUCCUUCCUCAUCAAAAGUGAAGUUGAAGGCAUAUACUGAUCGAGCUUCAUGAGGAAGAACUAGUGGAACAGACAUUCCAUCCUGGUUCGAAUGAGACAUUGCUUUUGGCAGUGCAAUACAACGGGAAACAACUUCUUCAAAUCCAAGGAAUAUUAGAACAAAAGAUGAAGCAAUGAGAAGCAAUUCGAGCAGCUAAUGCGAAGCUGGUUUCAGAUCAUUGCUGGAAAGAUUGCUGAAUGUAAAUGAUACUUAAAGCUACUAUAUAUGCGGUGGGCUUCAUCUCUCUUCGGCUCAAGCCCCUCAGUUCGAUUCAGAGUUAUCAUGCAGAUGGAGAAGAAACAAAUCCAAGAUUUCAGGACCAACCCAUCUUUUCAAACCAAGUUUACGAAAGAGUCCAGGUGAAUAGGGUGACGAUGAUCAUCAACCGGAACUCGGAAGACUUAUGUUCACAUGUUUCAAGCACAAGAUUAAUUUAGUCUUUGAACGCUCCAGGGAUUAAUCUGUUAUUAUUUAGUCACUGCAUGUACUUAUGUGGUAAUCAUUAGAAAAGGCUGCUGAAGAUCAUGGAACUGAACUGUUAGUCUCUAGGUUCACACAAUGGAACAUUCUAAGGAUUUACCCCAAAGGAACUUGAAGUUGCCUCCUCGAAUUACCAACCACAUGUUGAAUGGAUGCAUAGAGCUCAAAUGGUUGUCUCUAAUUAGCUUUGGAGUUUCAUCAAAUCUCAUUGGAAUCUAAUAAUAUGUCAAUGGCAGAGAUCAUAAGAAAUAUAACCCGAUCUCUGCAUAUAAAAUUUUAUGACAGGGAUGUGACAAAUCACGAUGGUGGAUGCGUUGGGAUGUUUAGAGCCGAUGAGGAUGCGGUUAAUUGAAAAAGCUUGCCUUUUUUAUGCACAAGGGCCCAAAUGAUGAGGUUUUUUAUCCUAAAAAGACCAUGAUUGUGACAAAUAACUUGGGUCAUCUACUAUGUUAUAUUGCAUUACACUUCGUAUUGACAUUACUUAUGUUUU